rnacentral:tRNA from 1 species
GAGAUAAUAGUUUAAAUGGAAAAAUAAUUCCUGUACAGAAUGGUUGCGUGUUCGAAUCACGCUUAUCUCCCUA